rnacentral:rRNA from 1 species
CAGGAUGAACGCUAGCUACAGGCUUAACACAUGCAAGUCGAGGGGCAGCAUGGUCUUAGCUUGCUAAGGCUGAUGGCGACCGGCGCACGGGUGAGUAACACGUAUCCAACCUGCCGUAUACUCUUGGCCAGCCUUCUGAAAGGAAGAUUAAUCCAGGAUGGGAUCAUGAGUUCACAUGUCCGCAUGAUUAAAGGUAUUUUCCGGUAGACGAUGGGGAUGCGUUCCAUUAGAUAGUAGGCGGGGUAACGGCCCACCUAGUCAACGAUGGAUAGGGGUUCUGAGAGGAAGGUCCCCCACAUUGGAACUGAGACACGGUCCAAACUCCUACGGGAGGCAGCAGUGAGGAAUAUUGGUCAAUGGGCGAUGGCCUGAACCAGCCAAGUAGCGUGAAGGAUGACUGCCCUAUGGGU